GGCUUUGGCUAUCACUCUGGGAUGGACCUGCGGUGCAUUAGCUAGUUGGUAAGGUAACGGCUUACCAAGGCGAUGAUGCAUAGCCGAGUUGAGAGACUGAUCGGCCACAAUGGAACUGAGACACGGUCCAUACUCCUACGGGAGGCAGCAGUAGGGAAUCUUCCACAAUGGGCGCAAGCCUGAUGGAGCAACACCGCGUGAGUGAAGAAGGGUUUCGGCUCGUAAAGCUCUGUUGUUGGAGAAGAACGUGCGUGAGAGUAACUGUUCACGCAGUGACGGUAUCCAACCAGAAAGUCACGGCUAACUACGUGCCAGCAGCCGCGGUAAUACGUAGGUGGCAAGCGUUAUCCGGAUUUAUUGGGCGUAAAGCGAGCGCAGGCGGUUGCUUAGGUCUGAUGUGAAAGCCUUCGGCUUAACCGAAGAAGUGCAUCGGAAACCGGGCGACUUGAGUGCAGAAGAGGACAGUGGAACUCCAUGUGUAGCGGUGGAAUGCGUAGAUAUAUGGAAGAACACCAGUGGCGAAGGCGGCUGUCUGGUCUGCAACUGACGCUGAGGCUCGAAAGCAUGGGUAGCGAACAGGAUUAGAUACCCUGGUAGUCCAUGCCGUAAACGAUGAGUGCUAGGUGUUGGAGGGUUUCCGCCCUUCA
rnacentral:rRNA from 1 species